GUUUCGGACGAAGAACCGAACCCUAGGGCACACUCGAGUUCAUGGCUUCGCUUUUGGAGAUCGUUUACGCUCACCUGAUCAUCGUCUCUGAAUCCCUAAACUGUCGUUACAGGAUUGGAAUCGAUUGAAUAUCUGUUGGAGAUUAUGAUGGAGUCUUUGAUUUUUGGGCCAUUGUUGCCCAAAUUUGUCGUAUGGAGCGAACCUGAUCAUUGAGUUACAACCAUUUAUAGCGACAUCGCUUUCUGAUCAUAUCGAGAGUUCGCGAGCCAAAGUAGCCGCCAUUGCAGAGCCUUCAAAAGCUUUACUCCCACCAUGUACCAGCGUUCAAAUCGGCUCUCUCCGGUUCGUCAUUCAGGUUCUACGCUCUAAUCCACUCAACAUUUUGGAAUUACGCAGCCAUUGGACCUACUAAUUUCCAUUGCCAUGUACGAUUUCUGUUCAUUAUUCCGCGAUUCUUUCUUCUUUUUCCGAGUCAAAGCGAAAUCUGAUUCGCUUUCUGUAUAUAAGUCUUCGCGUAGUACACUGAUCGAGGAUAUGAUGUUGAAUAAGUAAAAGGUCUGAGAAGGAAGAUUGUGUAGGUAGAGACGAUGUUUGAGGUUGAGGGAGGAGAAAUUACAGAAGAGGGCCCCUGUUCUUGCGAGAGUGAUCGCAUUUUGAACAUUCGCAACCUCUUCUACAGAGAUUGUUCUUAAGAGCAAGAGCAACGGGUAUGAAUAAAAGGCGUGGGUUGCAUUCUAGCAUUGGAUGAUAACCUAGAGUUCGCCCGACAUUUGUUCUUCUGUAGCAUCUCCCUCUGCUUCAAACAUUUGUUUUCUGCUUGCGUUCUUCCUUCAUUGAUCAUGCCUUCACACUGAUCCUUCCUCAUUUUUGUAGAUCCUUAGGUCAGCUAUUGAGCUGUUUAGUUGAUUUGAGGAUGACCAUUUCGUUUUUAGAUUUCUGGGGUAAAAAUUAUGCUUCCUCUCAA